rnacentral:rRNA from 1 species
GACGAACGCUGGCGGCGUGCCUAAUACAUGCAAGUCGAACGCAUUUUCUUUCACCGUAGCUUGCUACACCGAAAGAAAAUGAGUGGCGAACGGGUGAGUAACACGUGGGUAACCUGCCCAUCAGCGGGGGAUAACACUUGGAAACAGGUGCUAAUACCGCAUAAUUCCAUUUACCGCAUGGUAGAUGGAUGAAAGGCGCUUUUGCGUCACUGAUGGAUGGACCCGCGGUGCAUUAGCUAGUUGGUGGGGUAACGGCCUACCAAGGCUGCGAUGCAUAGCCGACCUGAGAGGGUGAUCGGCCACACUGGGACUGAGACACGGCCCAGACUCCUACGGGAGGCAGCAGUAGGGAAUCUUCGGCAAUGGACACAAGUCUGACCGAGCAACGCCGCGGGAGUGAAGAAGGUUUUCGGAUCGUAAAACUCUGUUGUUAGAGAAGAACAAGGAUGAGAGUGGAAAGUUCAUCCCUUGACGGUAGCUAACCAGAAAGCCACGGCUAACUACGUG